CAAAAUUAAAACGUAUUACAAAAACACAAACAGUAGUACGGUGCGCGGUUAAAAAAAAUAUAAGUACGAUCUAGGCGUUAUAAAAAGAACAAAUAUCGUGAAGACAAACUUAACAAAAAAACAUCACAAAGAAAAGGUCCAAGAGGGCCUUUUCUUGUUUUGUCGGCUUAUUCACCAGCUACUUCGUGAACUGCAACCACACGGCGACGUCUAACAUCCAAAAUCAACCAGACAGAAAGACCACCCAACAUAACCUCGCCGGAAGGCUAUCGGCUGUGGCCAUCCGGUGGCGCUAAGACCGCUUGAUAACCUAGUUUGGGCCAUUACGAGGUUAACGAAGAAGGCAAGGCUAAAAACAUAACCUUGUCGGGCUAUUACGAGGGUAUCGGAAAGAUCAUCCGGUACAACAAGGCCAGAAUCACAAAUCGCAACUUGCCAGCUCUUCCGGGACGCCGGAUAGAGUCUACUGUGAAUUCCGGAUUGCUGGUGGAAAAAUCAACAUAAGAUGGGAACCGCUGUCCCCAUAUGGUUCCAAUCAACCAUCGUUGUCCGCCGAUCCAGCUGCCGCUAGUAGUUCCUGAUAAAUUCCGUGCACAAAACCUAACCGCAAGUAUGCCUUAUAUGUGACGUCACCCCUGAAAAACUAUGUAAAUAAAACCCCCCACAUUAUGUAAAAUUUGAAAUCAGGUAGAAUACUUUACUGGAAUACUUUGUUAUUUUACACCUUAUCGAAAAUCGUUCUUUCAAUCCUUCCCUCUUAACA